UUUGUUCGGAACUUACAGAUACGAGAAGAGCUUUAGCCGUCAUGUUGGACGCUUCACGUUCUUGUGUUUUUCAAUCUUUGUUCUAUAUGUCUUCUUCCUCAUUUCAAAACCAAUUGAACCGCCCACCUCUUCACUCAACCCUCCAUCACCGUCAACACCCUCAGUAAUGACAAUCGACAGCCGUGCACUAUUUUUCCUUGCACUUGGACUUAUAGUGCUGGCUGGUCACAUCUAUUCUUGGGUCAUGGGUUGUCGUACAGGCUCUGACAUAUAGGUGUUGGACUGACACCUGCAUCAAAUCUGACUGAUUGCACAAGGGGGUGAAUGGUGCUCUGAGUUGAUCUGACCGGUUCUUCUUUACAAUGUGCUUAUUCAGGGGAAGCGUCACAUUUAUGCUGGGGAUAGGAUGUGGUGUCUAUGUAGCUGUAAAAUACGAUGAUGCAAGAACUUGCGUUUUUGGCACACUAACGAGGCAAUUCACGGACUGGUUGUUUCUCCGUGGUUUUUUCAUGUCACGAUUCCUGGGGAAAGUUUCGUGUAGCUGUAACAUGAUACUACAUAUAAUUCUGAUUCAGAGAGGGUAACCGUGAUGAGCAUACCAUCAACCAUGACCGUCUCAGUCUCCAAAACAUGUGUAAUCUUUUACAACGAUACUGCAGUUUGUAGGUUAUAUGCUGUAUAUAUGACGAGAGGUGAGAAUUAAGAUGGGUCGAUGUUGGUCUAAAUUUUUAGAGAGACGAGUGAGACAACUAAUAGAUGUCCAACCUUGACUGUUGGUAUAUACACAUUGAGCAAGUCACUCCUGUUUUGAGACAA